GGUGGCUCAUUCGUAGAGUGCUUGCCUUGCAUGCAUGAAGCCCUGGGUUCAAUUCCUCAGCACCA
rnacentral:tRNA from 1 species